rnacentral:rRNA from 1 species
AGGGGGGCUGCUCCUAGUACGAGAGGACCGGAGUGGACGCAUCACUGGUGUUCGGGUUGUCAUGCCAAUGGCACUGCCCGGUAGCUAAAUGCGGAAGAGAUAAGUGCUGAAAGCAUCUAAGCACGAAACUUGCCCCGAGAUGAGUUCUCCCUGACCCUUUAAGGGUCCUGAAGGAACGUUGAAGACGACGACGUUGAUAGGCCGGGUGUGUAAGCGCAGCGAUGCGUUGAGCUAACCGGUACUAAUGAACCGUGAGGCUUAACCUU